rnacentral:lncRNA from 1 species
GAUGCUUGCAGGGCAAGGGAGCAGAGUAAAGCCAGGCUUCAGGACCAUAGUUCCAUCUCCAGAAACAGAGAUGUAUUUUCACCUGCGGAGGGAGAGCUUCUCUCUCCGUGCCACCGAUGAGGCACUCGUCUGUGGGAAAGCGGGAGGGGUGGUGGGACUGGGAGCUGCUGGCUUGUGGGAAGUGCCAAGGAUGGACAGUUCAGGAUGGUCCACUUGUUGAGGAUCUGUACAAUGCCAGGGGAACCAGGAAUUGGGCACUUGCUGUGUGGCAACGUCGAUGGUGGAGGAGUGCUCACCUCCAGUAUGGAGAGAGGGAGCGAUGGGAGUGAUGAUGCUGCUGCAGGGCCGUGGCAGAUGCUUCUGCCUGUUGAUUUUAGGGCAUCCAGCCACUGGGCUUCCAGGGUGCGCGUGAGCUGGGCUGCUCCCCUUCAUGCUCAUGGCUCAGCAGAAGCUGCGUGGGUGCUCUUGGAUGCUGGAGGAGGAAGGUGUGUUCCCAGAACGGAAGGCGGGCAAUGGAAAAGCUGGUGGCCAAGCACAGCACCAGGCAGGGGCUUGGUGACAGGGCGCAGAAGGGGACAGUCUCUACGGGGCUGGCGAUGUACCUCUGCGGUGUGUGCACGCUGGGAGGAGGUUUCCAGCGACUGGGUGCCUGUGGUGCAGGGUGUGCAGUGUGUGUCUCUGCAAUGCAGGGGGGCAGUACUUCUGUCACUGCCUCUGCAGCGGGUGGGGUGGACACUGGCGGGCACCCAGUGCGUGCGUGCGGUGUCCCAGCCCAGAGUGGGAGGGAAUGGGAAGGAACAGUGUGUCUGCAGCGAGGGAAGGGAACAGUGUUUGCUGGCGCAGGGUGUGGGGUUGCCUAGUGACUGCGCGGCAGAGGGGAGAUGCUGUGCCUCCCAUCGCAGCGUGCAGGGGCUGUGCAGUGCCGCGAAGGCAUGGGGUCUGCCCACUGGGGUACAUCUGCACCUCUGUGUGGGGUGGGCAGCGAGUCUGAGUCCCUCUAAUACGGGGGUGGGCAGUGCCCCCUUG